rnacentral:rRNA from 1 species
AUUAAGCCAUGCAUGUCUAAGUAUAAGCAAUUAUACCGUGAAACUGCGAAUGGCUCAUUAAAUCAGUUAUCGUUUAUUUGAUAGUACCUUACUACUUGGAUAACCGUGGUAAUUCUAGAGCUAAUACAUGCUGAAAACCCCAACUUCGGGAGGGGUGUAUUUAUUAGAUAAAAAACCAACGCCCUUCGGGGCUUCUUGGUGAUUCAUGAUAACUUCACGGAUCGCAUGGCCUUGCGCCGGCGACGGUUCAUUCAAAUUUCUGCCCUAUCAACUUUCGAUGGUAAGGUAUUGGCUUACCAUGGUUUCAACGGGUAACGGGGAAUUAGGGUUCGAUUCCGGAGAGGGAGCCUGAGAAACGGCUACCACAUCCAAGGAAGGCAGCAGGCGCGCAAAUUACCCAAUCCCGACACGGGGAGGUAGUGACAAUAAAUACUGAUACAGGGCUCUUUUGGGUCUUGUAAUUGGAAUGAGUACAAUUUAAACCUCUUAACGAGGAACAAUUGGAGGGCAAGUCUGGUGCCAGCAGCCGCGGUAAUUCCAGCUCCAAUAGCGUAUAUUAAAGUUGUUGCAGUUAAAAAGCUCGUAGUUGAAACUUGGGCCUGGCUGGCAGGUCCGCCUCACCGCGUGUACUUGUCCGGCCGGGCCUUUCCUUCUGGAGAACCUCAUGCCCUUCACUGGGUGUGUUGGGGAACCAGGACUUUUACUUUGAAAAAAUUAGAGUGUUCAAAGCAGGCCUUUGCUCGAAUACGUUAGCAUGGAAUAAUAGAAUAGGACGUGCGGUCCUAUUUUGUUGGUUUCUAGGACCGCCGUAAUGAUUAAUAGGGACAGUCGGGGGCAUCAGUAUUCAAUUGUCAGAGGUGAAAUUCUUGGAUUUAUUGAAGACUAACUACUGCGAAAGCAUUUGCCAAGGAUGUUUUCAUUAAUCAGUGAACGAAAGUUAGGGGAUCGAAGACGAUCAGAUACCGUCGUAGUCUUAACCGUAAACUAUGCCGACUAGGGAUCGGGCGAUGUUCUUUUUCUGACUCGCUCGGCACCUUACGAGAAAUCAAAGUUUUUGGGUUCUGGGGGGAGUAUGGUCGCAAGGCUGAAACUU